rnacentral:rRNA from 1 species
AUACGGAGGAUGCGAGCGUUAUCCGGAUUUAUUGGGUUUAAAGGGUGCGUAGGCUGUGCGUUAAGUCAGGGGUGAAAUGCCGUCGCUCAACGACGGAGCUGCCCUUGAUACUGGCGUGCUGGAGUACGGAUGCCGUUGGAGGAAUGAGUGGUGUAGCGGUGAAAUGCUUAGAUAUCACUCAGAACACCGAUUGCGAAGGCAUCUGACGAAUCCGUCACUGACGCUGAGGCACGAAAGCGUGGGGAUAGAACAGGAUUAGAUACCCUGGUAUUCCACGCUGUAAACGAUGAUGACUAACCGUCGGCGAUAGACAGCCGGUGGCCAAGCGAAAGCGAUAAGUCAUCCACCUGGGGAGUACGUCGGCAACGAUGAAACUCAAAGGAAUUGACGGGG